rnacentral:rRNA from 1 species
UACGUAGGGGGCAAGCGUUGUCCGGAAUCAUUGGGCGUAAAGAGCGUGUAGGCGGUUCGGUAAGUCGGCUGUGAAAGUCCAGGGCUCAACCCUGGGAUGCCGGUCGAUACUGCCGGACUAGAGUUCGGAAGAGGCGAGUGGAAUUCCCGGUGUAGCGGUGAAAUGCGCCAGAUAUCGGGGAGGAACACCUAUGGCGAAGGCAGCUCGCUGGGACGUUACUGACG